rnacentral:rRNA from 1 species
GUGAGGAAUAUUGGUCAAUGGGCGGGAGCCUGAACCAGCCAAGUCGCGUGAAGGAAGAAGGAUCUAUGGUUCGUAAACUUCUUUUGCAGGGGAAUAAAGUACGGUACGUGUACCGUUUUGUAUGUACUCUGCGAAUAAGGAUCGGCUAACUCCGUGCCAGCAGCCGCGGUAAUACGGAGGAUCCAAGCGUUAUCCGGAUUUAUUGGGUUUAAAGGGUGCGCAGGCGGGUUGAUAAGUCAGCGGUGAAAGUUUGCAGCUUAACUGUAAAAUUGCCGUUGAAACUGUCGAUCCUGAGUGCAAAUGAGGUAAGCGGAAUGUGUUGUGUAGCGGUGAAAUGCUUAGAUAUAACACAGAACACCGAUUGCGAAGGCAGCUUACUGGGAUGCAACUGACGCUCAUGCACGAAAGCGUGGGGAUCAAACAGGAUUAGAUACCCGAGUAGUCC